rnacentral:rRNA from 1 species
GACGAACGCUGGCGGCGUGCUUAACACAUGCAAGUCGAACGAAGUGGCGAACGGGUGAGUAACGCGUAAUCAACAUCCCCUUGAGAGGGGAACAACAGUUGGAAACGACGGAUAAAACAGCAUAGGGAAGGGGGAGAUUGCGUCUGAUUAGCUAGUUGGAGGGGUAACGGCCCACAAAGGCGGUGAUCAGUAGUCGGUCGUGGCGGAGGAACCGCCACAAUGGGAAUGAGGCACGGGUCAUGCUCCUACGGGAGGCAGCAGUGGGGGAUCUUCCGCAAUGGACGAAAGUCUGACGGAGCAACGCCGCGUGGGUGAUGACGGCCUUCGGGUUUUAAAACUAUGUUAAUCGGGACGCGGUACCGGCAUAGAAAGCCACGGCUAACUCCGUGCCAGCAGCCGCGGUAAUUC